AACUUUGCGCAGCGGCGAUAUCGUAUCCAAUGAGAUUUAUUCGAGGUGCGAUUAUUGCUAGUUGAAACUAUACCUCUGAAAUUACAGUAAUGGAGAAAUUUGAAACUCCGAUUCUAUGAGACCCCCCUGUAGUUUCCAGAAACAGGCUGCUAGCAGA
rnacentral:snRNA from 1 species